GUCCACGCCGUAAACGUUGGGCACUAGGUGUGGGUCUCUAUCGACGGGAUCCGUGCCGUAGCUAACGCAUUAAGUGCCCCGCCUGGGGAGUACGGCCGCAAGGCUAAAACUCAAAGGAAUUGACGGGGGCCCGCACAAGCGGCGGAGCGUGUGGCUUAAUUCGAUGCAACGCGAAGAACCUUACCUGGGCUUGACAUGUACGGAAAAGCCGGUGAAAGCCGGUGUGCUUCGGCGUCGUACACAGGUGGUGCAUGGCUGUCGU
rnacentral:rRNA from 1 species